UAAAACUACAAAACUUGACCAGUAUCAUUGGCUGUCUGGGUAUCACUUACAUCCGGACGGUCUCUCUAAGCUGGGAGAUAGAU